rnacentral:rRNA from 1 species
GGGGAAUAUUGCACAAUGGGCGCAAGCCUGAUGCAGCAACGCCGCGUGAGCGAAGAAGUAUUUCGGUAUGUAAAGCUCUAUCAGCAGGGAAGAAAGGCCCGAAAGGGAGAUGACGGUACCUGACUAAGAAGCCCCGGCUAACUACGUGCCAGCAGCCGCGGUAAUACGUAGGGGGCAAGCGUUAUCCGGAUUUACUGGGUGUAAAGGGAGCGCAGACGGCAGUGCAAGUCUGAUGUGAAAGCCCGGGGCUCAACCCCGGAACUGCAUUGGAAACUGUACAGCUUGAGUGUCGGAGGGGUAAGCGGAAUUCCUAGUGUAGCGGUGAAAUGCGUAGAUAUUAGGAGGAACACCGGUGGCGAAGGCGGCUUACUGGACGAUCACUGACGUUGAGGCUCGAAAGCGUGGGGAGCAAAC